rnacentral:rRNA from 1 species
GCGAAUGCCUGGCCAGAAGGCGCGGUAAGUCGGAGGGUGGAAGCGUUAGCCGGAUUUAUUGGGGUUAAAGGGUGCGUAGGCGGUUUGAUAAGUCAGCGGUGAAAUAUUUCAGCUUAACUGGAAGGGUGCCGUUGAUACUGUCGAGCUUGAAUUUAGUUGCUGUGGGUGGAAUGUGUGGUGUAGCGGUGAAAUGCAUAGAUAUCACACAGAAUAUCGAUUGCGAAGGCAGCUCACAAAGCUAAUAUUGACGCUGAUGCACGAAAGUGUGGGGAUCAAACAGGAUUAGAUACCCUUGUAGUC